ensembl:lncRNA
CGUUGUUUAAACAGACAGCCUAAUUCUGAUAUUAUUUUUCAGAUCUGAUUGGUCACUAUACCAAUUAGUGAAAAUUAUCUAUAUCCGAAUUGGGCUGCCUGUGUGAUAGACAUGACCAGGUGGUGGACUCCUGCUCUUCUGCAUAGGGCUGCUGUUGUUGACUCGGUUUCGUGACGAUGUCACAGAUUCAACGCAAGAUGUCGCACCGGCGCUAUGGAUGGAUGGAGGGAGAGGAGGAGCCAGGACUGGGAAUUCUCUGCUUCCCAUCCCUCCUUAAUGCAGACAACAUGGCGGACUAAAAGAUACGGCUGACCCGCCCGGAUACAGCGAAUAAACAGUGGGAUUCACGCCCCCUAUGCUCAAGGAAGACGGAGAGACACCAAUUUGUUAGAAACACCCUCGGGAACAUUGAGGAAUUUUUGGGACCGUUCUAGUCAUUCGUUAACAUAAACAUACUUGCGAUCUGUUGCCUCCAAAUUGGCGGUCUGUCCCAGAUCGUUCAUAUCACCCAGGCCCCCCACCCCACAUACACACUAUUGGUUCCUGGGGUGUGAAGACAGGGGCUGGGGUUAAGAACGUGGAAAAAAAGGAAGAAAGGAAUUGCACAACUGUAAAUAUUCAGGAUUGUGCAAAACCAAACGGAAGUCGUGGACCACACUGUGCGAAUGAGUGAUUGAUGCCAAAUUCGCUCCUUAAGGGCAGUAUGGGUGUGUUUCCCCUGCUCCUGCUGCUCAGUGUGGCCCUCGGGGUCUCUGUCUCAGCCCAGGGACCAUCUCUCACCCCCACAGAAGGUCCAGUCUCCACUGCCAAACCCACGGAUUCUCCAGCCACCACCCUCCACAAUGUUCCAGUGGCAACAACCACCACCCCUCCAACAACGGCAACGACACUGACAACAACCAGCACCGCAGAGGGGAACAUAUUGACUGCAGGCCCCAGUGUCACCCAGGUGCCCAUUCCCCCUCCACCACCCCCUGGCCCCACCAUAGCCCCCCAAGUCCCCACGGGUGCAACCACUGCCCCGCAACCACCCCCUGCUCCGACCACGGUCAGUCGGGGUGGGGAGAAUGGGACCACACCCUCUGCUCCGGACAGUCACACAGAUCCCUCGCUGGAGACCACCAUAGAACCUACGGUGGAAGCCACGUCGCCCGACACUACUAGUGACACUACAACAGGUGGUGGAGAAGACGGCACAGACCAAAAUACGCAAUCAGAUGACACGCCCAUCAUUGCGGUGAUGGUGGCUCUGUCAUCCCUGCUCGUCAUCGUCUUCAUCAUAAUCAUCCUCUAUAUGCUCAGGUUUAAGAAGUACAAGCAGGCCGGCAGCCAUUCCAACUCCUUCAGGCUGACCAACGGUAGAUCAGAUGAUACAGAGCUCCAGAGUGUGCCGCUAUUGGCCCGCUCGCCUAGCACCAACAGGAAGUACCCACCCCUUGUUGUUGACAAGCUGGAGGAGGAUAUGAAUCGUCGCAUGGCUGAUGACAACAAGCUCUUCCGGGAGGAGUUCAAUGCGCUGCCGGUGUGUCCUAUCCAGGCGUCAUGCGACGCGGCCUCUAAGGAGGAGAACAAGGAGAAGAACCGAUACGUCAACAUCCUGCCAUGUGAGUCCCCAACGCAGAGUUUGUGUUUAAUCAGUGAUGAUAAUAUAUCUCUUCUGUCUCUCUCAGGGCCAAAGGAGGAGACGGUAAACGACUUCUGGAGAAUGAUCUGGGAACAGAACACCGCCACCAUCGUGAUGGUGACCAACCUGAAGGAGAGAAAAGAGUGUAAGUGUGCCCAGUACUGGCCUGACCAGGGCUGCUGGACCUACGGCAACAUCCGGGUCUCUGUGGAAGACAUGAUGGUGCUGGUGGACUACACUAUCCGCAAGUUCUGCAUCCAACAGGUGGGGGAUGUGGGGGGUAAGAAGCCCCAGCGGCUGGUGACCCAGUUCCACUUCACCAGCUGGCCAGACUUUGGCGUUCCCUUCACACCCAUCGGCAUGCUUAAGUUCCUCAAGAAGGUCAAGACCUGCAACCCCCAGUACUCUGGCCCCAUCGUGGUCCACUGCAGUGCGGGGGUGGGGAGGACAGGUACCUUCAUAGUGAUAGACGCCAUGUUGGAUAUGAUGAACACCGAGAGGAAGGUGGACGUCUUUGGCUUCGUCACGCGCAUCAGAGCCCAGCGCUGCCAAAUGGUCCAGACCGACAUGCAAUACGUGUUCAUCUUCCAGGCCAUGCUGGAGCACUACCUGUACGGAGACACAGAGCUGGAGGUGACCUCCCUGGAGUCCCACCUGGCCAAGCUCUACGCCCCCUCCGCCGCCGGCUGUGGGGGCAUGGAAGCAGAGUUCAAGAAGCUGACCUCCAUCAAGAUCCAGAACGACAAGAUGAGGACGGGCAACCUGCCGGCAAACAUGAAGAAGAACCGAGUUCUCCAGAUCAUCCCAUACGAGUUCAACAGAGUGAUCAAUCCAGUCAAGAGAGGGGAGGAGAGCACGGAUUAUGUCAACGCUUCCUUCAUUGAUGGCUACCGUCAGAAGGACUCGUACAUGGCCAGUCAGGGCCCGCUGCAGCACACCAUCGAAGACUUCUGGAGGAUGAUCUGGGAGUGGAGGAGCUGUUCCAUAGUCAUGCUCACUGAGCUGGAGGAGAGAGGACAGGUAUGGAGAGAUGGACCUUUUACUCAGCCCAGUCAUGCCAUGCCAGAAGUAGAGAGAACAAUUAUUGGAAGGGGAAAGUCCUCUUGUUGGUCCGUUUCCCGGUUCUGUCUUGAGAACAAGGCUCGUGCGGUGAGGCAGUUCCAUUUUCAUGGCUGGCCGGAGGUGGGCAUCCCCAGCGACGGAAAGGGGAUGAUCAACAUCAUCGCCGCGGUCCAGAAGCAGCAGCAACAAUCUGGCAACCACCCCAUCACUGUCCACUGCAGUGCGGGCGCGGGGCGGACGGGGACCUUCUGUGCCCUGAGUACGGUCCUGGAGCGGGUGAAGGCUGAGGCCAUCCUGGAUGUCUUUCAGACUGUCAAGAGCCUCCGGCUGCAGAGGCCCCACAUGGUGCAGACACUGGAGCAGUACGAGUUCUGCUACAAAGUGGUCCAGGAGUAUAUCGAUGCUUUUUCUGACUACGCCAACUUCAAGUAGGGACCCACACAGGGGACGGACAUCCGUACACAGUCAUAAACACACACCAAACCCACACGUACCCGACGGAAAGAAACAAACUGUUCACGGCUUAGAUGACUGGGCAGCCUGCGUGCACAGAGGAAAAGGGAAUUGAAGUUUUGUGACGGAGCCAAGUGCAGCGCUGCAGUGUACCGGAGGGAGUGAAUAUCAGAGAUGCCUUCUUGAAUAUUUUGUAAUAUUGAGCUUGUUAAUACGGCCCCUUGUACCUACCCCCCCCCACAUCGACACUCCCCAAUCCACCCAAUGUACAUAUACUGUACUUACCCUGUCACAUUUUUUUUUUUUUUUUUAGGUCAAGUUUAAGUUUGGCUGCAUUUUUAGGGUGACAUAAUGUGUUUUAUGGGUAUGUGUGUGUACAUAGACCGUGCCAGUCAAAGGUUUGGACACACUUACUCAUUCAAGGGUUUUUCUUUAUUUGUACUAUUUUCUACAUUGUAGAAUAAUAGUGAAGACACAAACUAUGAAGUAACACAUAUGAAAUCAUGUACUAACCAAAAAAGUGUUAAACAAAUCAAAAUAUAUGGUAUAUUUGAGAUUCUUCAAAGUAGCCAUCCUUUACCUUGAUGACAGCUUUGCAAACUCUUGGUGUUGUCUUAACCUGGAAUGCUUUUCCAACAGUCUUGAAGGAGUUCCCACAUAUGCUGAGCACUUGUUGGCUGCUUUUCCUUCACUCUGCGGUCCAACUCCUCCCAAACCAUCUCAAUUGGGUUGAGGUCAGGUGAUUGUGGAGGCCAGGUCAUCUGAUGCAGCACUCCAUCACUCUCAUUCUUGGUCAAAUAGCCCUUACACAGCCUGGAGGUGUGUGAGGUCAUUGUCCUGUUGAAAAACAAAUGAUACACUCACUAAGCGCAAACCAGAUGAGAUGGCGUAUCACUGCAGAAUGCUGGUUACGCUUGCCUUGUAUUCUAAAUAAAUCACUGACAGUGUCACCA